CCCAGUGCUUCCAUCAACCUACCGUUGGUUGGUUGGUGCUGCGUCUUAUAGUCAGGUGCGCCUUGUAAGUCAGUAUGAAUUAAUUUUGACAUUGAUGAGGCAAGAGACAAAAUUACUGUCUACAGCUGCGAUAGUCCGCCAUAUGCUGCUUCUGCAUUUAUGUAGUUCAAUGGAUUCAGUGAUGUGGAAUGACAGGUAUGCGAACUUCACGCUAGUUGGCUUGUUCGGUUAAUUUAUUCAACCUUCCAGGUAAGUUCUGCUUGCUAUGGUUUAUAAUUUAACUAACUGAUAAUAUUACUUUAACGUGCAGACAUCUAUCUAUUUAGCUUGCUGUUCUGUCUGCUAUUGUUUAAUUGAAUAACUUGCCUUUCCAGAUUAAAUGUCUGUUCUUUGGCUGGAUUUUGUGAAAUAAUUUUCUAAAAAAAACCAACUAAGUAAUUUUGUCUCAAUGACGCAUUUUUAAAUGAUGUGGCUUAUAUUACGGUGCGGCUUAUAGUCGGGAAAGUACGGUAGAAAAUGUGUAAAAGAUCAACCCAGUAACUCAGUUUUGGUGAACCAUUCUCUGCAAGCCUGUGAAAAAAUAGGUCAUUGAAAUUUGGCACUCCUUGUGAUGUCAGAAGGGGAUAAUACCACCCCUUAAUCUGCACUUUCCAACCACAGCACUGCCAUUUAGUGCAGAGAUCAGCUCAUUUGCAUUUUAAAAGACACACCCAAAUAAGGGCAAAUUUUUGUUCACACCUACAAAGUGUCAAUUUUAAGAUGCUAUAAUAAAUGAUCUAUAUGAAAUCAUGGAGCGGUCUGAAAUUGUCAUCGUAGGUGCAUGUCCACUGUGAGAGACAUAAUCUAAAAAAAAUCCUGAAAUCACAAUGUAUGAUUUAACUGUUUAUUUGUAUGAUACAGCUGCAAAUAAGCAUUUAAACACCUGAGAAAAUCAAUGUUAAUAUUUGGUACAGUAUCCUUUGUUUGCAAUUACAGAGGUCAAACGUUUCCUCUAGUUUUUCACCAGGUUGCACACACUGCAGGAGGGAUUUUGGCCCACUACUCCACACAGAUCUUCUCUAGAUCAGUCAGAUUGAGCUCCCUCCAAAGAUUCUCUAUUGGGAUUAUAUUUAUUUUUAAUUAAGAGGUUAAAUCUCCAGUUUUUGAGGGUAUCUGCGUGCAUGGAAUAUGGAAAGGCCUGCUUUUUAUCCAGACCUUGAUGCUUUUUAUGGUGCUGCGCAGACCGUUCCGGCUUAUGACAUCACAGUACCGCGAGAGCAAUGGUAAAGGUGUACCAUUUUGUAACAUUUCGACAUACUCUCGCGGUACUCUGAUGUCAUAGGCCGAAACGGUCUACGCAGCACUCCUUCAAUCUUUACGGCAAAGUACUAGCAACAUGAGAAGUGUUGAGGUGGUUCUCAGUAGAAAAUAAAAAGGUAGGCUACGCUUGAAACCCUUAAAUGUAACUGGUUUAGUUACUUACAUCGUGUGUUGCACUUUCGCCACCGCUAACAAUCUGAAACAUCGCGCAUACGUGUGCUCGCUCUGUAGUUUGUAGCUCGCGCUCCGGAUACUGUAAACAACUCCACCUUCUUUGAUUUGAUUGGCUAUCGCAUCAUUUUGAUUUUGACAAGCACUUUAGACUGCUGAUUGAGACAGACAGAUAGAGAUAGGCGUUGCACAGUAUUUACAGUUAUAUAUUAGGCAAUUAUUCCAAUAGUGAUUGUUAUUACACACCACUGGAUCUUAGUGGUGGGCACGAGCCUGCGUGAGAAAAUGGAUUUGGUCGAAAGAGCGUGAGAAAUAGGGCCAAUUGCGCGUGCCCUGCCAUGUAGGAGUAUUUUUGUAAGGCCUGCGACUGAGGGUCAUAUUUCAAUAUAAAGGCUACCUCAAAAAUGAAUUCCAUAUGGAACUUAGUGGAAGACCAUCUCCUAGAAAUGUGCAGAUGAAUGUAAGAUGUCAAAAAGGCACCACAGUCAUUGUUUGUGAAAAUUACUGCUUUGCAUUAAAUGAUAUUUCAUGGUAAUGUAAUAUAGAUUUUUUACCUUUUGAAAGUAACAAAUAUAAUAUGAUUACAGUAUGUAAUAAAAUAAUUAUAGUUAUAAGCAUUUGUCACUGUGUCUGUUAUGUUUUACCUGUUAUCAGUGCGUAAACAAAUGGUCACCAAUACUCUAUUCAAAAGAGGUAAGAAAUUGUUUUGUUCAAACACAGCAUAAUUACAAAGUAUGGUUUGCUGGGUUUUAAUUGUUUUCUUAUUAACACAAAAAACAACAUGACUACCCUUUCUGCUUCCUCCACCAGCCUUAGAGCAGCUGUUCAUGUAUAACUCUGUGGUAGAGCAUUGCGUUUGCAAUGCAAAAGGUCAUCGUGGGUUUGAACCCAGGGAACACAAAUACUGAUACAAAUAAUAAGCAGCUUGUAAUGGAUUUUAAGUUGCUUAAAAGCGUCUCCAAAUGCAUAAAUAUUAUAUAUACACAUGAUGUAACCCCAGGUUGACCACCGUGAAACAUGUAUGCAUUAGGUGGACGGCUUUAUCCAAAGCAUAUACUUUUUAUUAGUAUGUGUGCUCCUUGGUUAUUUAGCCCAUAACCUCUUAUUUCAGCCUUGUUUGUUUUAUUUUUAUUUUUUAUGUAUAUACACUGUAAAACCUAACAGUGUAAGUCACUAAACGAAAGUUAAUUUCACUUAAUAAAAACUGUGAUAUGAACUUAAAAACUGCAAAUGAUUAACCAUAACUAUAACCAAAUAUUUAAGCAACAGCAGGACACAGAUAUGAAGAGCUAACAGGUAAGCACUGCAAACUCUUUCAACCUUUUUAAAGCAUCUUUAAUCUUUAAAAACAUGUUGUUUGUCGUGACUCUACAUUUUAAUACUCACUCGGUUACAGUAAUUUGUGUAAUGUUGGACAUACGAUGAAACAACGCGACGUUGACACAGCAAUUUUACCUCAGACUCAUUUUUAUCAGCAGAUUGUGUGUUUCUUUCUCAGUAAGGACUAACUUUAACUGACUGUCUGUCUGUCUGUUAUCACCCAAACGGUCAUUCAAGACCUUUUAAAGCACAAACAUUUCCCGUGCAAGUCUGAAUCUCUCUCAGUAAGGACUAAUUGACUGGCUGUCUGUUCUCGACCAAACGGUCAUUCUUACUCAUAAAAACCUUUUAAAGUGUUUCCCGCACAAAUUUGAAUUUCUCUCAGUAAGGACUGACGGAUGGCCAUUCACUCAUAUAACCUUUUAAAGGUUAGCACGAAUGCAUCCAGCAUAAUUUUGGAUCUUUACCAUUGAGGAGACUGGCUGACUGUUCUCAACCAACCAUCAUUCACACGCUAAACUUUAAAGGUAAGUAUGAACGCGUCUAGAGCAGUUUUGGAUCUUUACCAUUGAGGAGGUUGACUGACUUUCAUCUAUGACCAUUAACACAACAAAAACUAAAGAAAUGUUACUACAAGUGGACCUAUUCAGUUACUCAUUAUGCUGAAGAAGAUAGAUCCAUUGCUGCCCAAGCUAAGCUUUAUUGACACAAGUGUGACAUCCCGAAAAAAAAAACCCAUUAAUGACCGGUGGGUGAAGGACCUCCUCCUGAGGUAUGUGCAGCUGUUCGGUCUCCUGCUACCUCGAGGUCAACGUGGACAGGGCAAUUCAUGGGCAGGGCCGCCUCAGGUCGUUCACUUUCCUCGAGAUGCGGCAGCCUGCACAAGCUGGGACCGGCCAAGAGAGGAAAUGGUGCAGGAGACGCGUACACCUCUACAAAGCAGUGGCUGGUGAUGAAGGAGGAGGACAUCACCACCAAGUCCCUGAAGUGCUUCAGGCGCUACAUUCUCGAUAGAGAGAAGCCUCCACCAGAU